rnacentral:rRNA from 1 species
AACGAACGCUGGCGGCAGGCUUAACACAUGCAAGUCGAACGCGUGUAGCAAUACACGAGUGGCGCACGGGUGAGUAACGCGUGGAUAUCUGCCUUUUGGUUCGGAAUAACCCCGGGAAACUGGGGCUAAUACCGGAUGGUUCCUUCGGGAUAAAGAUUUAUCGCCAAAAGAUGAGUCCGCGUCCGAUUAGCUAGUUGGUGAGGUAAUGGCUCACCAAGGCGACGAUCGGUAGCUGGUCUGAGAGGACGAUCAGCCACACUGGGACUGAGACACGGCCCAGACUCCUACGGGAGGCAGCAGUGGGGAAUAUUGGACAAUGGGGGCAACCCUGAUCCAGCCAUGCCGCGUGAGUGAUGAAGGCCUUCGGGUUGUAAAGCUCUUUUGGCGGGGACGAUGAUGACGGUACCCGCAGAAUAAGCCCCGGCUAACUUCGUGCCAGCCGCCGCAGUAAAAC